CAGCUGCAUCAAGAGGCAGACAGAGCCCAGAACUCCAGCUCCGUGCUGUGGCCCCCGCCUGGGCCGGGUCUGCCCUGUCCACUCCCUUCCAGCCUGGAACCCUCACAGGGCCCAGGUGGACAUGCUGAUUCCAGAGCUGGGGACACCCCGGGGGGCCUACGGCUGACGAAUUUCCAAACUGCGGGUGCCCCCUGAAGACAGAGAGGAGGCUGCGGGCCAGGACCCCCGCUCCACAAGAGCAUUUUCAUGUGCACCCGACCCACAUCUGGGCUGUGUAACGUCCGAGAGAAUUCUCUAGAGAUUCAUCCAGGUCGUGUGUACUCGCCGUUCCUUCCUGAUCACUGCUGCGUAGUAUUCCACAGCCGGGAUGUGCCACUGUUUGUCGAUCCAUUCACCUGCGUGCAGAAGGACAUCUGGGUCGUGUCCAGUUUUGGGACAUUAGGAAUAAAGCUCCUGUAAACAUUCAC
rnacentral:lncRNA from 1 species